rnacentral:rRNA from 1 species
CCUACGGGAGGCUGCAGUCGAGAAUCAUUCACAAUGGGGGAAACACUGAUGGUGCGACGCCGCGUGGGGGAAUGAAGGUCUUCGGAUUGUAAACCCCUGUCAUGUGGGAGCAAAUUAAAAAGAUAGUACCACAAGAGGAAGAGACGGCUAACUCUGUGCCAGCAGCCGCGGUAAUACAGAGGUCUCAAGCGUUGUUCGGAUUCACUGGGCGUAAAGCGUGCGUAGGCUGUUUCGUAAGUCGUGUGUGAAAGGCGCGGGCUCAACCCGCGGACGGCACAUGAUACUGCGAGACUAGAGUAAUGGAGGGGUAACCGGAAUUCUCGGUGUAGCAGUGAAAUGCUUAGAUAUCGAGAGGAACACUCGUGGCGAAGGCGGGUUCCUGGACAUUAACUGACGCCGAGGCACGAAGGCCAGGGGAGCGAAAGGGAUUAGAUACCCUGGUAGUC